rnacentral:rRNA from 1 species
AUUGAACGCUGGCGGAAUGCUUUACACAUGCAAGUCGAACGGCAGCACGGGGCAACCUGGUGGCGAGUGGCGAACGGGUGAGUAAUACAUCGGAACGUGCCCAAUCGUGGGGAUAACGUAGCGAAAGUUACGCUAAUACCGCAUACGAUCUACGGAUGAAAGCGGGGGAUCGCAAGACCUCGCGCGAAUGGAGCGGCCGAUGUCAGAUUAGGUAGUUGGUGGGGUAAAGGCUCACCAAGCCGACGAUCUGUAGCUGGUCUGAGAGGACGACCAGCCACACUGGGACUGAGACACGGCCCAGACUCCUACGGGAGGCAGCAGUGGGGAAUUUUGGACAAUGGGCGCAAGCCUGAUCCAGCCAUCCCGCGUGCAGGAUGAAGGCC